rnacentral:rRNA from 1 species
CGCUGGCGGCAGGCCUAACACAUGCAAGUCGAGCGGAUGAAAGGAGCUUGCUCCUGGAUUCAGCGGCGGACGGGUGAGUAAUGCCUAGGAAUCUGCCUGGUAGUGGGGGACAACGUUUCGAAAGGAACGCUAAUACCGCAUACGUCCUACGGGAGAAAGCAGGGGACCUUCUGGCCUUGCGCUAUCAGAUGAGCCUAGGUCGGAUUAGCUAGUUGGUGAGGUAAUGGCUCACCAAGGCGACGAUCCGUAACUGGUCUGAGAGGAUGAUCAGUCACACUGGAACUGAGACACGGUCCAGACUCCUACGGGAGGCAGCAGUGGGGAAUAUUGGACAAUGGGCGAAAGCCUGAUCCAGCCAUGCCGCGUGUGUGAAGAAGGUCUUCGGAUUGUAAAGCACUUUAAGUUGGGAGGAAGGGCAGUAAAUUAAUACUUUGCUGUUUUGACGUUACCGACAGAAUAAGCACCGGCU